CGGAAAGCCAGAAAGACGACGGCGACCAGCACUGCCAGAGACAUGUCCGCUGCCCUCGGGUAAUACACAUUCUUCUCGUGGCUUUCCAGAUCCGUCCACGAUGUACCGACAGAGAAGUAAACCAAGGAGACAAUAUGAAUUGAGAUAUUGUUACAAUGGGCAGAGAUAAGAUUUUGCAUCAAAGGUUGUGUGGACUUUAGUGCUAACCCAAGCUUUAUUUAGUGAAGGAAACGACUGUAACAGCACUUUCGCCACACCUGACUGAACAUUGCUGCCUUGUCACAGGUGACUUGUUUGCAGAAUGCAGUUGGGACAUGAAGACAACUUGAAAGCUCACUCUAUGCAAUGAAGUUUUUUUGUGUUAAACUGGGAAAACACACAGCAGAAACUUAUAAAAUACUCCAAACUGGUCACGGAACAAAGUAUGGCUGAAGUUGGGCCCUUGGGGGAGAGAAUGCAAGUCCUUAAUUCAUACACUACAAAUGAUCAUGAUAUCCGGGACUACAAAAAUCUUCAAAAACUUCUUAAGAUUUAAAAGUGAUGAUUAAAACAAGGGACUUACCUUCUCAACGUUGCUACCAAGUCAGUGGCUGGCCAGGAUUUAGUCUAAAUUAGAAAGAGAAACAGAAGACCAUUCAGUUAUAGAAAGAUGAAGGAUAACGCUGCAAUUGUUUUGAUGUCAUUUCACCAGAAGGGACCACACAUAUAUAUAUAUAUAUAUAUAUAUAUAUACUCUUUACUCUUUUACUUGUUUCAGUCAUUUGACUGCGGCCAUG